UUUCGUUCAAGGCAAAGUCAGAGUAAUCUGGCCACGCAAAACCACGGGUCCAUGGUUCAUGGAUAGCCGGGUUGCCGAA
rfam:Pelobacter carbinolicus DSM 2380, complete genome.